GAGUCGCUCAGUGGUAGAGCGCCGGCUUCCCAAGCCGGUAUUCGCGGGUUCGAUUCCCGUCUCU
rnacentral:tRNA from 1 species